UUGUAGGGAAUAAUAAAUAUGAUUGUAAAGUGAUUUGAAAAAUUAAGUAUUAAAUAAUAUGAUGUCAGAAAUGGGAUUACUCUGACACAUAGGGCUUCUUUUAUUAUAGGAUCUCAGUGCAUAAAACUAUGCCCUCCACCUCUGCUCUGCUGAGGUGCUGCGAUUAUUAGCUAGCUUUUAGGUAGUCAAGUUGAGUGUUAGUCAAGUUGACUCAAAGGAUAGGAUUUAGAUAUUUUGAUUUUUAGACAGGUGUUCUUUAGAUGCUAAACUAAUGCAGUAGAAGAGAUUUAGAAGCCUGUUUCUUGGUACAAAUCUUAAAUCUUCUUAGAGUCUACAGUGAAGGCUUCUUGAAUCCUCUUAAUUUAUUAUUGUGUUUUGCUAAGGUACCAAUUACAGCACACCCUUCUAAACUUUUGAGUGUUCCUGUGUUUGGCUUGUGGCCAAUUGUUAAUUUAAACAUCACGGAGUUUCUAAGGCAAGGAGAUGUUAGCAGUAUGUCUGAUUGUCUAAACAGCUAUCCAGGACCAUCCUCUUGCUCCUUGUUUUCUUUUGCUUUGCAAUGGGAAGUGACUCCCUGAUUUUGCUGCCUGCUAGAUAAUUUCUCAGCUGAAUUCUUCUCUUGCUUAAACAAAAUCGGAGUAAUUUUCUUUCAGAUGGUGAUGAAAUUUAACCUAAAUCUAUUUUUCCUUUCACUUUCUUAUUAUUCCUUUUUUUUUGGUGUGGUGGAGAGGAGGAGGAGAGUGAUUCCUAGUCUCUCUUAUUUUUCUGAAUGUUUAGAUUUAAAAAAUAUUUACCCAUAACUUCUUGGGAUCUCUCUGCUCCAUUCCCACCCUACUGCCUCUCCUGUAGGCUUCUAUGACAUAGAGGAGCAACUUUUGGUUCACCUGGAUUGUAGUGGCUGACUUCAGGACCUUUAGAGAAUGUUUAAAUUCAGUGGGAUAUGCUUGGAUGGUUCAGAGCAGCCUUACAAUACAUUUUAAAAAUAUCACACCCACAGAAAUUCUAUUUUGCCCGCGAAAUUUGCAUUGAUCUAGUUCCCACUCUGUGUUGCCAUUCCUAGUGAUCCUCCUCCCUACCUCUCCCAUUAUGGUAGAAAAAAACUCUGUGUCCUGGCUACAUCAAAGUCUGUUGGGGUGGAUCUUGGACUCAGCACCCAGGGAUUCUGAUAAGCCUACCAUAUGUGUAGUAUUUUGGACAGAUCACUGAACUAGGAGCCAGAAGACCAGAAUUCUUCUCCAGGUCUGUUAUUAAUUGGUUUGGUGACCUUGUAGGAGAGCCACUGUUUUGGUCCUCCAUUUUCUGAUGUUCAUUGUUCGUGGUCACAGAGCCAAUUAGAGUUGAGACUAGAAUUCCUUUCUUCUGGUGUCCAGUGCCUCAUUCACUGUCCACAUUGCUUCCAUCUCGUGUACAAAUGUGCUUAUGUGCACAAAAACUCUUAUAACAUCCUCAAGUGCUUAUUGUUAAUGCGUACAUGAGGAAGGAAUCGUGUAUUUUCAUUUAUGUGUUUAUUCUAAUGCCCAUACCCUACCCCUGUACCUGGCAUGAUGCCUUGGUAUCUAAUAGGCACACAAUAAAUACUUGUUCAGUCGAACAAUUAUUUUUAGCCAUUUUCUUAUUUUGGACAACUGUGGUACUCCUAGACAUUUUAAAAAUAGUAUUUGCAGGAGUCAUGCUUACCUUACAUUUGGGGAAAAACCAAAUUUUUCCCUUCCCCAGAUGUUUCAUUUAAACUUGUAAUUUUGAAUUUCUUUGUGUGUGGGGUUUCUUUCUUUUUCUGAUCACUUCUGCAAUUUAUAAAGGUCACUUUGACUUUGGAAUCUCACUUCAAAGGCACUGCCAUCCACCCCCUGCCUCUCACUCAAGUUUGCUUCCACUGCUUCCUGUAUUACUGUAUUACUAGGCCAGCAAUUUCUGUUAUUUUGUCCAGAAUAGCCACACCUUAUUGUAAUCUCAUCAUUUUGGGGACUAGUCAUUUUUGGAAUACUAUUUUUAAAAUUAGAGUUAACUAAGUUUAUAUUUAUUUUGAUAAUUUUUUUUGAGAUUUUUUUCAUUGAGUUGGAUAUUGCAAACUUGUACUGGAUUGAGAGAAUAUGUACAUUUAGUAAAGUAUAUUUGCUUUUUUUUUUUUUUUGAACCAAGAGAGUCCCCUGAACACCCUACUGACAAAAACUAAAGGUGAAAUAUGAUGAAUAAAUAUUUGAGAGAAUCACAUGGUGUUGAGUUGUCUCUGCCACAUGAUUUUGAUCCUUGAGGGCCAGGUCUGUGCUACACACAUUUCUUCUCUGUACUACAGAACUUGUCUGGCAUGUGCCCCAAAUUCAGAGUCAACUGAGCAGCAGGUCUUAGUCACAGCAUCUAUGACUCCUGCUUUCCCACCUUUAGAACAUUCUAUAGGAGAGGCUGAUGGUGAGUUGGAGUGUGUUUCUAUGUUCUUUUUUCCUUUGAAGAGAUAGGAUCAGUUGAAAGCUGACCCCACCCACAGACUUUUUUUGCUAUCUCUUUUAAUUAAUUAAGGAGUGGCUGAAAUUUUCCUCUUUGUUGACUUAUGCAUUGGCGGGAACUUUAAAAUUCAUCUAGUCUUUCUGUCCAUCCCAUGCUGGAUCUGAUGUUUACAACAUUCUAGUCAAGAGGUACCAUAUUUUCUCUCUUCUUGAACAUCUCUUGUGGUAGACAGCUCUCCACAGCAGUUUAUUCCAUCUUUGGCCAGCUCUAAUUCUUAGAAAGAUCUUCUUAUAUUCAGCUAUAAUCCGUCUCCUCAUGACUUGUCCUCAUUGACAUCUACUCAGAAAUUUGUCUCAGAGUCCUGAGACCUGUGCAGGUGAUAGGGACCCAAAGAGAUGCUUGUCUGUAGACUUUACGGAGCUGACACCCAGCUCUCCAUAAAAGGAGUCAAACCCAGUGAGGAGCAUGUCUGGGGUGAUUGCUCAGGUAAAGCAUCUUAGCCCUACUUGUUUCAUACCUCCCUGCACAGGUGGGCACUGGUGGGAGAAUAACAUUUAUCAAGCAGUGUUUCCCUAACCUCUCUUAUGAUAAGGAUAGCUCAGGUGUUCUCAUGGAGAUUCUGAUUCAGUGCAUCUGGAAUGUCAUCUGGGAAUUUGUGUGUUCAAGAAAUAGCCAGGUGAUUCUUACAUUAGGAAAGUUUUAGAAUCACUGCAGAGUGAAUCUGGGAAAUCAAAGUGUUUGUUUUUGUUUGUUUGUUUUUUGAGAGUAUUAGAGACAGGUUGCUUUGGCUAGAUCCUGUGGUCAUUUUUCCCCCUUGGAAAUGCCUCCUACUUGCUGGCCUCACUUAGUACAGAGAAGAAAGCUACUAUGGUAUAAGGUUAGUAAAGUUGUUUGUUUUGUCUUAAAAGAAAUUUGCGAAAUCCAGCAUUUUCAGACUUCUGUUUGUGUUGUAUGACUUUGUUGUAAGCCUCCUUAUUCCUCCAUUAGAAUGUUACCUGAGAUGUUAGAAUGCAUAGGAGUUCCACAGCCUUUUUGGUGUCCACUAAAGAAUUCUGUCCUCAGCCGUUGCAAAUGGUGCUUCCUUUGAGGAUUUCUGCUUCAUUAGCUCAUGAACACAUAUUUGGUGUCGGCGGUUUCCCUCAGAUGUGUUAGUGUGGAGAGAUAUAAAGGUCACUCAUUUCUGGUGGUCCUGCUUUUGGGGUUUCUGGGCUGCUGCAGCAAAUGAAAUAAGGAAAGGAAAAUAAAGGAGGAAUCUAGGGCUUCUUGAGCAGAACAAAACAAUCUGCAAGAAGGGGCACAGGAUUGCUCCUCUCACAAAGACACUUGAUAAUACUGUCCUUGAUAGGAAGAAGGAAGUGGCUUCAGAUCUGAAAGGAUAUGCUCAUAGGCUUGAGACGGGACAAACUGCAUCACUGGUAGUGGUAGGAGGUUUGCCGUAGAUCUGUUUUUUCUCCUGUCUUUCUUUUUUGAGGAGAAUAUUAUCUGUAUGGCAGAACAUACAUUGUGGUCUUAAAAAGGAGAGUAAAGCCAAGAAAGGGGGAUGAUAAAGCCAUACAUAGCUUGGAAUAAGAAAAGCAAAGGAAUUAUUGUAUUAAUUUGUGUAUGUAAAUACAUAGGUUUCCAUGUAAUUCACUGGUAGGAUCACUAGCCCUUGGCACUAACAUUUGCUAUCUUUGUAGCUCUGCUGUCUUAGUGGUGUAUUGGGGGAGCAUUGUGGUGUGUUGUCACACUUAAUUUGUGUGCUUCCCUUGGCAUCAUGUGGUAGCAAGUACAGGGUAUUCUACUCUGCUAGAUGUGUGGGAAUCAUUGACCAAGUAGAAAAUAUGGUCCUGCUCCCAAGGAGCUGACAUCAUCAUGGAGACAAGACAGAUAAGCACACAAUUAGGAAUAUGAAAUACAGUUAUUUUAUCAUUUAUCUAUGCUCUCUGAAAGCAGUUUCCUGCAGUCAGGGUGACUCGGAGCUAUAGGGUCUUGGGAGUAAACUUCAGGUCUUAAUACCACCAGGGAAAGGCGACCUCCAGCUCACCCUUGCUGGGCUUGUCUGCUGUCGUGAGCUGUCUGCCAUUUUCCUCUUUCUGUGUUGUAAUUUAGAAGUAUUAGAACUUGGCUUGGGGAAAAGACAAAAACCCCUUUGUCUGGUGAGGGUGUAAAUAUAAAUUUGGCACAUGUUGUGGUGUCUAUUAUGUCUGUUAGUGGGUUUGCGGCAAGAGAGAGUGCUGUGUUCUUAGUCCCGAAUGCCAAGCCUGAACUAGGACAAGUUAUGGUGGAAAUAUCUUCCUUGGAAGAUGCAGUUCUCAGUGGCAGUGGCUGAAGGAACUUCUCGUCACAGCCAGGCAGUGACUGAAGUGUGGUGUGGACACACCCAGAGUUGCUGCCUCAGGUGGCAUUGAUUAAUCAUACUAAUAUCUCCCUCACCCUUUUGUACUUGUCUUGGCAAAACCCUGUUCUACUAGCUCCCCAAUAGUUUGGCCUUUACUAGGUAUGAUUGAACAAGCUCUUGGGGGUUCACCUUAGUGUCCCUUGCCCCUCUCGCAUUUCCAGCCAGCUACGUCGCUCCAGCCAUGGUACCCCGGGUCCUCUGGCCAGGCAGUGAGGGGCUGGGUUUUUCUUCCCAUUGGACUGAAGCACCUUUCCCUGGAGGCUUGCCUAGGGCAGUUUCUGGUCUCCGAGUCAGUUCCUUCUGCAGGAUACUGGCAGCUGGCAGAACUCUGGGUUAUUUGAAUACAUCAGCCAAACAUCUUGCCAAGAUGGACUCAUUGUUGCAUAAAGACAGGUUGGAUCUAUGGGUGUUGCAGAACCUGUUUCUGGGUUAAGAGUAGCUCUCUCACCCUUAUUAUAUAUGUUUAUUCAUAUGAUGAAUGUAUGUGUGUAUUUUGUGAAGUAAGGAAAACAUGAUGAUAAUAUUGUGGUUGGAGUUAGAUACCUUAUCCUAAAUAUGUUGUCUUUUUAACAAAUAGCAUUCCUUUAAAAUACAGUUGUGCUUGAUGAAUAAGGUGUUGUACAAGAAGCUGUGGUUACAUUCUAAAAUAAACUGCCUUGUUCUGAGGCAGGCAUGUUUUAAAAUUGUUGUUUGCUUCUUUUUCAUCUCUUUUUAUUUUCAUCUUUUUUUUUGUGAGAAGAUUCUGGAAGUUUUUAAGCCUCAAAUAUUUUCAAUAAUCUAUUUUAACUGGUACCUAGCAGGGAGAGGUUGUUCUAUUGGUAUACCUAACCAACAUUCAAAUAAGAAUAAUUGAAUACUGUUUACUCACUAAUCUAUUCUGUUGAGUUUCUAAGUAUGAAUAAUCACAAAACUAGAUAGUGCUGGUAUAUUAACUUCUCUAAAUGGUAAAUGUGGUAAGUAGCAAAGACGUUUUUGUUUAAUUCUCUCCUUACACAUGCUUUGGUUCAGACGCUGUCAAGACACAUUGAAGUUUGAGGACAUGUGUAUUUCGAUUAUUUUAUUAUAUUUUUAUUUGCUGUGAAUAUGGGUUUAUUUAUUUGCUAGAUCUUCUUUAGUUAGAAACAUUAAGGCAUUUACUUUAUUACAACAUUUAAAGUGCAUUCUAAUCUUCAUGAGGAAUUUUAGGUAAAAGACCGUAUCCUGAGAUUCAUGCAAGUCUUUGGCAUUGUGUUACUAUUUAAAGUAAGUAAUAUGUAGUGGCUUCUCUGACAUAUUCUUUCUAAGAGAGUUAAGGAAAAUAGUUGUAACUAAAAACAAACAUUGAAACAGUUUAAGGUAGGUUUACGUAGCAACAGAAUUAUUCGUUAUGUUUACAGAUAAUUAACUCAUAUUUAUACUUUGCUGAUUUUCUCUGGCACCUUUACAAGAUUUUUUUAUUUUUGUAAUAUAAAAAGUAAUUAUGUUUGAAAAAGUAGUUAAGGAUGUUUGAAGAAUCUAGAAAAGCAUAAAUAAAAUGUCCACAAUCAUGCGCCAUUAAUUUUUUGGUAUAUGUCUUUGGUUUUUUUACCCUUAGAUUUAGAAAAGCUGUUGAUUUAUUCAUAUAUAUAUAUAUAUUUUUUUAGUUUAUGAACAGAUCUACAUAUAUAUAUAUAUGCACACACACAUAAUAUACUAUUGUCAACACUAGGUUUUAUUUUUAAAAAUCUUUACCAUUUGAUAAGUGGUAAAUAUUACUUAAUCUUAAUAUGCCUCUCUCAUUACAGUGAUAUUGAAUGUUUUUUCAUAUCAUCAGUGGCGUUUGUAUUGCCUUUUUUUCCACUUAUUUUGGUAAAUUGUGUCUUUUACUCAUUUAAUUAUUUUCUUACUGGUUUGAAAAAGCUCUUUAAAUAUUAAGGGUGUUAGUCUUUUGUCUUAAAUAUGUCACAAUAUGUAUGGAAAUAAUUAGCAGUAUAUAACAUAACAUCAAAUUGCUACCAAUGUUGAUAUAAAAAUUGUUCAUUUCAUAGGUUAAUUUUUUUUAAUCCUUUGGUUUCUAAUGAUAUUGGUUAAUUCAUUUGUUAACUGCUAUUUUCUGUAGCUACUUGAAAGUUCUUAUCUGGCUGUAUCGUAAAUCAGCAUGCUUUCACCUGUAUAUGUCUAGGAAAUUGACAUUUACUUUAAUACUUAAUAAAAAAAUAUGUUGGAGAAAAGCAGUGUAUUCUGGAGUCAAAUACAUGAUUUUGGGUGGGUGACGUAAUCGGCUACUGUCCUCGUUUUCUAGAUAGCCAAGAUUUUUGAAGCAUUUAACAUCCCUGAAAGGCAGGACUAAUGCUAUGUCUACCAUGCACUGCUAAUUCUGACACUUUGACCUAAUGGAUAAAUGCCAGUACAGUGGGUCUAGCCAGUUAGCUUGGUCAGAGAAGAUGACUAAGAUUCUCUCCCCCUUUCCUCACCAAAUUGAUUAGUUGUAGGACAGAACUGACUGAAGCAACCUGUUGUUUUGGCAACCCAUGGACACCACCUGUUUCUUCCAUUCCUCCGUCCAGCCUCCCACUGCCCUAGUGCAGUGCUGUGUGCACAGUGGGUAGGAGAUCAAUGUUGUUGCUAAAGAAUGUAGCAAUAAAGAAGAGUAGAUUGCUUUUUUCCCAAGCUUUUGUGUUUUUAAGGCACCCCGCUGGUUUUGACAUUCGUUGCUCCAGCUGAACUGCUCUAUGCUGAAGCCCUGCAGGUCUCAAGUGUUUGGUUCAGAGUAAUUUCAGGCCAUAUGAAUGCUUUCUUAAGUAUCAUUGGAAUUUACUGGGCUGGCUGUCUGCCAGCUAUUACCAUAUUUAGCAUGAAGAGACCUGGGGAAUGAGGACAUUUCUGAUCAACCAAGGAAGGAAACCUAUUUGAAGGAUUACAAUAUUUUCUUUUUUUUUUUUUUUAAUGGUGUAGUUCAGAAAACGCCAGUUAGACUGAGACUCAAAUUUAUGUCCACUGGUCUUUGUUUCUGUGCCCCAUCCCAAAAUUAAUUUAUGAAUAGGGAAAGAGGUUUGAUAGUGAAGUUCUUUCUCACUCUGAAGUCUAAUACUGUUUCUGGGAGGAAGUAAGAGAAUUAUUAUGCCCACACUGUGCACUGAGAGGCUUAACCAGCAGGUGAAGCUGUUGAUUAAAAACAUAGGUUGAUGAGUAUUCUCAUUUUUCUCCUUUGAAGCUUUCAGAAAUUUUCUGCUUUGUCCUGGUCUAAAUUUAUUUUGGCCCAGCCCUUGUCUCCACCCUACCUUUCAAACCAGUAGCCUUCCCUCUAUGGCUCAACAUUUCUCUGCCUCAGUUUUUUCCAUUUUAAAGAUGAAGAUAUUGUUUGGAAGGACCAGUAAAUACAAUUAAUAUAAAAAUUACUUCUGUAGAAUCAAACAACCUCCAACAUUUCUGUUGGAAAUUUAUAGUUUAUAGAGUAUUCUUACACAAUGAUCUCCUUUAAUCCUCACAAACUUGGUGGAAAUGGAGCCUCACAGGGGUUAGGUGACUUGUAUACAUUGUUUACCCCUACAUAAUAAGUGACAGAGCUGGUACUUAAACUUGUGGCUUGAUUUUUCUUUUUUUUUGAGUCGGAGUUUUGCUCUUGUUGCCCAGGCUGGAGUGCAAUGGCACAAUCUCGGCUCACCGCAACCUCCACCUCCCGGGUUCAAGUGAUUCUCCUGCCUCAGCCUCCCGAGUAGCUGGAAUUACAGGCAUGCACCACAACGCCUGGCUAAUUUUUUGUAGUUUUAGUAGAGACGGGGUUUCUCUAUGUUGGGCAGGCUGGUCUCGUACUCCUGACCUCAGGUGAUCCGCCCGCCUCAGCCUCCCAAAGUGCUGGGAUUACAGGCGUGAGCCACCGUGCCUGGUCCUUGCAGCUUGAUUUUUUAAACAUCAGAUUUUUUUUUUCUUUUUUGAUUUUUAUUAUUAUGUGUCUGUCAUUCUGCUAGGGGCUUUGCAAAUAUUGCUUUAUUUAAUUCAUAUGGCUAUCCUUUGGAGUAGACAAUAUUUUUCUACGUUAUAGGUAAGGAAUUUGGAACUUAGGUUCACAGCUUUGGAUGUUGGCCUAUGGUUAGUGAGGGGUGUAGCCAGGAUUCAAACCCCUGUCUGGCUUUAGGGCCGCUGCAGUAAAUCAUGGUGUUUUAUGUACAUUCGUACACUUAACACUUUGCAACAACCCUAAGAGAUGGGUAGGUAUUUAGGGAAACUGGGGCUUCUAACUUGCACAGGAUAAUGCAAUUAGUAAGUGGCUUAGUCGAGAUUCAGAGCUAGAUCUGUCUCCAUAACCCUCACUCAUUCCAGGAUACUGCAGAUGCCUAUUUUUAUGAUAUGUAUAAGUAAAAAUUAAUUUAAAAAACUACCUUCUUUGAAGGGUCAGCCAGUUAGAACUCUUUUGUAUCUUCUGAAUAAGUAAGAAGUGGAUGGACAUUAGCUGACCGAUACAUUGAUGGCUUUUAACCUUCUAUCAGUUGAUUUCCAUUACCAGGACAAGCAAAUAUAAUUUGGAGGGAAAAGAGGGGAGUUUCCAUUAAGGAUGAAUCUUUAAGCCGAAAAGGGCCACAGUGAUGAACUCUUCAGAGGACUGCUCUCAGGAGCAAUGCCCUUCUCCUCUGGGCUCUGCUUGGGGCAUUCCUGUUUGUAUUUAUGGAGACAUCUUUUUGAAAGGCAGAUGCCAGCUUUAGUGGGGAGAAGGUUGGAAAACAUACAAGCCUUGCUCUAAAUUUACUAGCCCCCUGUCUUUGGGCUAGUUUCUGAAGCAUGGUGUGCCUCAAUUUUAUUAUUUUAAAAAUAAAGAUAGUAGCAGUAUAUUUUGGAGUUGUUGUGAAGAUGAUAUCAGUUAAUAAGUGUUAGAUUCAUUGGACAGUACCAGGCACAUAGUUAAAGUGCAGCAAAUAGUAGUUAUUGUUGGUAUUGGUGUUAUUUUAUGUUGCAGUACAGACUGGCUUCUUGGUGCAUUCACUUUUCUUUAAUCAAAAGUGGAUGAGUGAUUGGGAACCUUCAUGAGGAAAUAGGAACAUCAUCUUUGCAGCCUGUGGAUUGUUCACUGGUUUCCUGUGAUCUAAUAAUUAUUUAAGGGUUUCAUAUUUGAGUCUCUUCCCUUAAUGAGGUACACUUUCAGUUUGGGGAGAUUUUAUCUAUAGGCAUACCUUAUUUUAUUGUGUGUUCCCUUUUAUUGUGCUUCACAGAUUUUGUUUUAUUUUUUACAAAUUGAAAGUUUGUGGCAACCCUAUGUCGAGCAAAUGUAUCAGCACCAUUUUUUCCAAUAGCAUAUACUCACUAUAUGUCCCUGUGUCAGUAUUUUUUAGCAAUAAAGUAUUUUUAAACUCAGGUAUAUGCAUUAUGCUUUAGACAUAAUGCUGUUGCAUGCUUAAUGGACUAGAGUAUACUGUAAACAUAACUUUUGUAUGCACUGGGGAACCAAAAAAUUUCUGACUUGCUUCAUUGUACUGUUUGCUUUAUUGAGGUGAUCUGGAGCUGAAGCCACAAUAUCACAAAGGUAUGCUUGUAUUAUGCAAAUUGCAUUGAUAGGUGUUAAAUCAUUUUCCCAUUUUUUAUUAACCACACAUUUGUGAUUGGAUGUUAUGUUUAGUAAAGAUAUUGUGAUUUUCUGAGGUACAGCUUUGAGAACAGUAUCAGGUCUAACACUCUUGUUUCCAAAUUUCCUAUGAUAUGACAAACAUAAUCACAUGCCAUCCAGUGUCACCAUGCAGAGUACUAAUGUGAAGCCAAAAUACUUGGUGUUUUAAUUAGCCUUAAAGCAGUUAAUGAACUAUCUCUGUUAGACAUUUUGAAAUAAUAAAAAAUAUCCCAUUGUCUUUUAUUACAACCUCAGGGGCUCCUGGAGAUUUUGGGAUCUUGUGUGGGGAACCACCCAUCUAAUCCAUCCUUGUUUUAAAGAGAGAAAACCAAAGAAGCAAAGUGACUGGCCCAAGUACCUAGAGCUGGGUCAGGGUUGGGGCCAGAAUCCAAUCUCUUGACUUUUAGUCAAGUGAUUUUUCCACUAUGCUCAGUACUCAAAUUAUGUAUCGAUAUGUCGGCCCUUGUUUUUUUGAGGUCUGAAAAGGGUUAGUGCCAGUCAACAACAGUAGAGGAGUAGAAAGGGUGUUGGGAUGGGAGAGGUGUGGCUAUAUUUAAAAUUUCAAUGACAGCAGUGAAAAUAAUUUGCCUGUGAACCUCUGCCUGUCCCUUUGGACUUCUUUGUAGUAGUUGAGACAACCCGGCAGGUCUGGUGUCAUUAGUGAUUCAGAAUUGGAUUAGCCUGGACUGGUGGAGUUACUUUCUCAGAAAAGGGCUUUAUAUUUUAACAUUUGUUUCCCUUGACAGUUUGCUUCUUCUCAAGUUUUGGCAGCCUUGAACAAGUGGUUGUCAGGUUUUUAUUUUGUUUUGUUUUAAGAAAAAAUUCCAAAUUUUAUUUUGCCGAUUUAGUAAGUUAUCCUCUACCUGCCACUCCCUUCUGCUCCCUCUAUAAUUAUUUCUAAGACUUUAUUUUUCCAUUGUGGGAACAUUAUGGAAGGUUUUCUUUUACAGUCUGAGAUAUUUAUAAUUAUGUGUAAGCACACAGUUUAUAGAAUAUGUAAAUGGUCCAUAUGUUAACUUAAAUACCCUUAAAAUAUUUUCCAAUAAUUUAAAUCUUUCCAUAAAAGUAGCUGAAGCUGCUUAUAAUAAAAGAGAAGUAUACACGAAGGAUAGCAGAAUUUGGAUGUAGUUAAUAUAGAUAAAUAUGAAUGUCACUUUGGAGGAACUGGAAGUAUUUGCAUGAAUACUGAUCAAGUCAUGCCUCCUUGUUAAUAGAGUGAACAAAACAGAUGAAUGUUCCUGUUUUCAUGAAGUUUAUGUGACUAUCAGUAGCUUCCAUAUUCUGAGGGUUUAUUAUGUGACAGAUGCUUGGGGACAAAAUACUUUACUUGUUUCCUUUAGUCCUUAAAAUAGAUGUUAGGAUUCUUGUUUACAGAAAAGUUAAGGAAUGUUCAUCCAGAUCACCUAGCCAGUCAGUGGUAAAGAACAGUCACUGGAACCCCUCUUUCCUGAUCCAAAGCCAACAUACUUAACCAUAAUAAAUAAUGCCAUUGUCUGGUGGAAUCCUGUAGUCCCUUAGAUAGUGUAAUUUUGUGUUUAAUGUAAACAUUUUAUGCACUAAACUGACUUACAUUUUACUUUUUAAAACAAUAUUUUAAUUCUGAAUGAACAUUUGCAUAAUAGGAGAAUGAUCUAAAUUGCAAACUUCCAUUUUGAAGAGUUGUAGUUCUUUUAAAUCUUUUUGUAACUGGGAAGAAGAAUGGAAUUAUGUUUGGUGUAAUCCAAGGAAAGUUGGUUAGCAUUCUUUCCUGUUACUUUUUGAUCCCAAAAGAGAUUCUUUAGUAGAUUAAGACCAGGAAUGAAUGUGUGGAUUUUUUUAAAUAAAAAAUUGAGAGAGAUUGUAACUAGCAAUUCAGAGCCAGAUUUAUGUUCAGAAAUGUUUGAUGCCAGCCGUUUUAGCUACAAAUAGCUUUUUCUUGACUGUACAGUUGUGUUCUUAUGGUACCAUUCUGAAAGUGAUGUAAGAGACCAUGUAAAAUGAUUGGAAUGCCUCAGCAUCUGAACAAUGCACAUAGCCAAUUAUUAAAAUUACCCAGUACUAACCUGUCUUGGCUUAGGAACUAUGGAAUUAACUGUGGGUAGCAUUUCUACACAUAUCAUUACAGAACAAGCAUAAAGACAAGCUUUUUUUUUCCUUUUCUGUGGAUUUGUUUUUUCUUAUUACCAUAUCUUUUGUUACUGAAAACUGGUGGUCAUCUGUACUAAUAGAUAAGAGAAGUGUGUUUGACACCAAUACCUAAUCUUAGAUAUCCCUGCUAUUUUAAAACACAGUCCUUCACCUGCAUGCUCAGACAUGUGGGUUCUUUCAAACAUACUGGACUUCCUCCUUAGGUUUUAGUUGUGUUAGUCAAUAGUUGAAUGUUGAAGGAGAGGAUGCCAAGGGAUAUUAAAGAAGGUAAAAGAGAUAAGUGACAGCAAACAUUAUUUAUUUUUAAUUAUCUCUCAGAAUGACUUUUAGAUACCCUUCCCUACUACCUUUUGAUUUUUGCUUUAGCAUAGCUGGUGAGUUUUGGAAUCAGAGAGACUGGGCUCUGAUUUGUACUAGCUAAGAAUAUUAGACAAGCCACUUAACUUCUUUAAGUCUCAGUACCCGUAUUUAUAUAAUGGGAAUAAUAGUAAUAUCUAACUUGCAGGAUUGUUUGUAAAGAUUGAAAGCAACAUAUUUAAUUGUGCUUGCGUGGUUCUGGGCACAGAAUAGGCACCCGAGUGUAGGGGCCCCUGAACUUUAAAGUUCAUUACUUUCAUGGUAAUUCCUCCUUUGGAAUAUAUAGUCUGGGAACAUUUGUCUCUAGACCUUGUUUCAGUUUCUUUUAAUGACUCCCUUUAGGCUCUGCUUCAUGGCCAACGCAAGAUUAUGGAUCACCUAAAGAGUAGACUAAAAGUACUAUUGUCUAGUAACUUCAAGUUUGUAGGUUAACUCACUGUGAAUCAAAAGCUUUUAAAAAUCUUUUGCGUGGUCAUAGUUUGUAGUGUCUUGUACCUCUCAUCUCAGAAGCAAUUGAUUCAUAGAAAAAAUUAUUUAGGAUUUCAGAUUAAAGAUGAAGAACUCUUUCAAUAAGAAGGAACUGAUUUGGUUGGAUUAUUUGUUUCUUUCACCCCUGAGUUUUCAUGGAAAUCAGGUUUAAAAUGUUAGAAGCAGUUGGUUUUCAGCAUUGGGAAAGCUUAUCUGAUCAGGCAUGCGAAAUGGCCUAUGUCGGAUUUCUGAGCUAGGAAAGGCUAGGGGAGGUUGAGGAGAUUAUUGUACUUGUAAUUCCUGAGCAUGGUUGAGACACAAGGAGAGGAUUGUGGAAAUUGUUUUUAAAAAAUUGUUGAAGUUAAUGCAUUCUUGGGUGGAUUUGCAAAACAGAACAAAACAAAAAGUUGUUGAAGUUAGUUACACUGGUCUAACAACGUAUACUUACCACCCCCAUUUGGGCUGGAGGAAUGGAUCUAAUAAUAAUAUAGGUGUUUGUGAUCUAAUUUGAAUCAUGUAAUCAUUUAUCAUUUCUGGGUUAGAUGGUAAGGAUUUUCUGUUUCACAGAUUUUUAGACUGGGAAUUGUGCUAUUAUAAAAUAAUAUUUUACAUUAAAUAAUGCUUUCUAGGUUGUAAUCACCUUAAUAGACAUGAUUUAUUUGGGCCACAAAUGAACUCUGGUAAGAAUGGAGGGCUGGUUACAUUAUUUUAGUUUUACAGAUGAAAAUAAUCAGUCUCAAAUAGCUUAAGGGAAUUCCUUUAGACCAUAUGGUUAGUAUAUGGAAAAGCCAGAGCUAGAACCCAGGUUCUGAUUUCCAGAGCAGUUCUUAUUUCAUGAUACCGCAUAAUUUUAUAAUGUCCCUAAAUCCGAAUUUCAUUUCUCAUGAUGUGAAAGGAUUCUCUUUAUUUCUGUUUGGUUAGCUGCAUCAGAGCAUGACAGAAAUGGAGCAGAAUUUGAGUAUUCUUUCCCCAGAUGGGUCAGUUAGCUUUUCUUAAAGCUAUUCUGUGCUUACAUUGUUAAUCAGUUGUCCCUGGUUCCUAGACAGGAUGUUGAUCCAUGUGAAAUAGGCAGGAAUAUGUGUCUGACUCAGCUUAACUCAUCACAACUUUCAUAUGUCCUGCUAGUGGGUCUAUAAUGUCACCCUCGUUUACAGGCGUUUUUAAUUUUCUGAUGUCUAUUUCUUAGUAUUUUUCCUCAGCCAUUUUUAAUGUCUCAAGCCAUAGUUCUUCCUGAGUGGCCUGAAGUGAUUUUGCUGCUCUUUAAAGCUUCCUUAAGGUUUUUCAAGAGUGUACAACAUAGGCUGCUUCUAAGUGUAUUUUUAUUUCCUAGCUCUUAGCAUUUCUCACCUUAUCAUUAUAACUUUAAAUUGAAACAGAAUACAAAUUGUGUACACAGAUGGGUGUGUCACUAUUGCACUGUCACUUAUGUAAGUGCAGUUUAGCAUUUCUUCUUUCCUUUUAAUCAAAAUGAGGAAAUAGAAAAUGUUUUGUUAUGGUAGUUUUACACAUACACCCACAAGGAAAUGUGUAUCUAGAGUCUGUGGGAACUGUGACUGAUACAUUUCAGGGAAUAAAAUGUAUGAUGGCUAAAAUUUUAACUCUGCCAAAUGUUCACGGGGAAAGAAAAAUUAACAAACUCACAUUUUACACUUUAUUUUAGCCUAGUCUCUGCCUUGUUUACAUCUAUAUGAUAAUGAAGCUAUACUUGUCUUUCCACAACAGUGUAUUUUAUAAGUUGUACCUUUUGUUUAAGGGAGCCUUCUUAACAAACUUUCUUUCAGUUGUCCAGUGUACAGAAGCUUACUGGAAGGAGUGGCCAACUAGUUAAAGGUUUGACACCUCAAUAUCAACAAAAUGCCAAGUGGAUCAUUUUGACUCUCACAGCAAUCCAACUGGACAUUUGACCAUGCCCCGUGGUCAGUGGAGAGCUUCUUCUCUGAAGGCCACUUUUAUCUAGCACAUCAAGGCUAUACACCUCUUUCACUAAGAAGAAUUUGGCACUUUUAUGUUGUGAGAGCUGAGAUUCACCAUUCUCCACCAUCCUGAGAAGAGCUUUGAUAGCAGGGCUACUCCUGAGGUACAUAGAUUAUCCAAAAUACAUACAAUUUUUUCAUAGAAAAUUAUAUAUGUAUUAUAAUUUUUAUUCAAGACAGGUUGAAAUUAAUAGAUUUCUUACAUUCACUGCAUUAAAGGAAUAUUUAUGGCUUUGGUAAUAUUUUAAAUUUCAAAUUAAAAAAUUUGAAUAUCUGAAUUAAGUAUCUCUGAUUUAACUCUGUGUGUGUGUGCGUGUGUGUGUGUGUGUGUGUGUGUGUGUGUGUUGGGAGGAGGAAUAGACCUUGGAAUUGUUUUUUCAAAACUUUUUUUAUAACAGUACCUAAUCUCAGUUGGCAAGGAAUAGCUGUCCAGAAUGCUGCAUAGAUCUAGUGAAAAGAUUUAGGGAAGUUGUAACUAGUUUAAUAACCAUCUGUGGAGUGACAUAGAUUGACACACCCAAUUACACAAGACCUGAGUCUGAGAACUGUUGAUGUGCAAUCAUCCCAUCAGCAUCUGCUCGUCAUUAUCAACAACAAUAAUGGCUCAACUAUUUCUUUGAGGCCACAUGAAAAGACAGUGUACCCAUAGCAAA